rnacentral:RNase_P_RNA from 1 species
GAAGCCAACCAGAUGAUCGCGGGGGUAUGGACCGAAAGGUCGCCUCUGAGGAAAGUCCGAGCUCCAUAGGGCAAGGUGCUGGGUAACGCCCAGUGGGGGGAACCCCAAGGAAAGUGCAACAGAGAGAUACCGCCGAUAGCGGAGGUCAGUUGUCUCUGACGACUGUCCGCCGAGUAGGUAAGGGUGGAAAGGUGAGGUAAGAGCUCACCGGCAGUCAGGUGACUGGCUGGCCAUGUAAACCCCACCUGGAGCAAGACUGAAUAGGGGAACUAUGAACGGCCCGUUUUUGUUCCCGGGUAAGGUCGCUAGAGGCCGUCGGUAACGGCGGUUCGAGAUAGAUGAUCAUCACCUCCGUAAGGAGGGACAGAACUCGGCUUAUAGGUUGACUUCGCAA